GCGGGUUUAGCUCAGUUGGGAGAGCGUCAGACUGAAGAAAAACUUCGGAAAGUAAAUCUGAAGGUCAUGUGUUCGAUCCACAUAAACCGCA
rnacentral:tRNA from 1 species